rnacentral:tRNA from 1 species
GGGAAUUUAGCUCAGCGGCAUAAGCACCUGCCUUGCAAGCAGGCGGUCGUGAAUUCGAGUUCGAUCCCCG